rnacentral:tRNA from 1 species
ACGAGAUAACGUAAAGGCAUAGAUAAACGGCCUUCUAAGCCGUCGGUCGGGAGUUCGAAUCUCUCCUGGGACGUACCA